rnacentral:snRNA from 1 species
GAGUAUAUUGACAACCAUGACAUCUGCCACCCCAUUGGUUGCCAGGAUUGAUUUGGUUGAUCUGGCUGGCUUGGCAGGUGUCCCCUUCCCGCCUCACUGCUCCAUGUGCCUCCCUCCCGAAGCUUCNAGCUGGAUUCAAGAGGGGGACCUUCCCUGAACAGAGGAGGACUGGUCUUUGGUUAAGGGUAUAAGAGUAGCUGUGCUCCCUUGCAAGAACCGACAAAGAAGCUCUCAAGAAAUUUACUUUCAUUUUCCUACUUACUCUACAUGUAAUUCAAAACAUCUUCUAACAUUUUUUAUGAAGACUGUU